UUUCAAAAUACGCAACGGAAAAUUCACAAUUUAAUUAUAAAACGUUUGGUUAAAGGUAUUACAAUCAACAACAUACUUAACUAAUUGAUUAAUUAGCCUAAACAUUAACUAUAAAAUCAUUCUUUAUAAAAUAUACAUUUUCCGAAAUAAAUACAUUAAGUCAUAAAGGACCCUAUAUCCUAAAUACAACCCUUUCACCGUGUCACACUCAGAGCGGAGCUUCACCAAACACUUGUGCAUCAACAAAUACAUAACCUGUAAACCUGGACCACCCAACGGUCCAGAAGUACACAAAACAGAGAGUUAGUAAAUCAUAACCAAUAAAAUACAAGUGUAAGCAAUAUCCUUAACACUUCAUCAUAUUAUCAUGCAUAAUCUAACUCACAUACAUAUUCUCAAUCUUAAAUCAAACAUAAGGUUAUUCACAUAUACAUUGAAACACAAUUUGGACAACAAUGCUUAUCACCAAUAUUCAAUCAAGCAACUCACACAACUUACACAAACCACACAAUGUCACGUAUCAAAUCAUCAAAUCAUAUGCACAUCUUCCUAAUGCAAUCUAAUGUCACAACUCAUGCUAUGUCACCCUAGACAUAUCUAAUGCAUGUGGUACCAAUCGUCUUUAUUAGAGUAUCUCACCUCUAAUAUCCGUCUUUAUCGAAUAAAUAUAAUUCGAUAUCCGUCUUUAUUAGAAUCAUAGAUUCUAAUAUCCCUAACUCAAUACAUGAAUGCAUGAAUGAUUCAUGUACAACCACAAACACUUAAUAUAAAACAAUAUUAAGUUAUACUCUAUGAUAUGGAACACUAUCCAUAUCCGUCUUAAUUAAGAUAUAUCACAAAUCUUAAUAUUCUGUCUUUAUCGAACAAAAUCCGAUAUCCUUCUUUAUUAAGAUAACACAAUACCUUAAUAUACUUCUUUAUUAGAAUAACACAAUUCUAAUAUUCUUCAUUCAUAUACAUACAUAUCAUACAUUCAUCAAUAACAUCAACAAAUCAUUAUUAAUUAAAACAUCCUCAACAAUUUUAAAGGUAUAGGAAGUAUACAAAAAUAUAAGAAAACUUCAUAAAUUAAGCCUCAUCUUAUAAAACUAACUUCGGAAUUGGAAUCUACGCGAAAAAUCGAGUGAAAUAAGUUCCGGGUGCAUAAACCGUCAAAAAGUCAAAAGUCAACACUUGGUCAACCCUAACAUGCAGAAAAGACAAAAGCUGCGCGUAGGCGCGAAACUAUUGCGCCCAGGCGCAGGCAAAACAGAAUGCAACCAGAUGGACUUGCGCCUUGGCGUGAACAAUUGCGCCUAGGCGCAGACAUUGUGCAGAAAGUGCGUUUUUGUGCGAAAAAUCACUUAUUUGACCCAAAAUCACUUAUUUUCAGUUCCAGAAAUUAUAUCAAGCAUGUGUUAUGUUCAUACAUGUUCAAAACACAUUAAAAGUAACUUAUUAACACAAAUAAUCACUUAUUGUUCAUGGAUCUUGACAUAUUUGUAAAAACUCAUAAACAUUCACAAAUCUUAACAAACAUCUACAAAUACCCAUUUUCACCCAUCAAAAUUGUUCAUACAUCAUGUUAAGAGUAUAUUAAACAUACUAUUAACAUGAGUUUUCAUUUUCAUUAAGAAAAAUCAUCCCAAAAAGCCCAUGAAAAUGAGUGGAGAAAGUUUGGGUUCGGAGAAAUUGACAUUCUCCCCUUUCUCUAGCCACUCACAAUUAUGAAAACUAUCUCUCUUACCUUAGCUCGACGAUUCUCGGAUCUUGGCUCUUGAAUCUCCAAGAAAUUCCUUGCCCUAGCUCUCCUCCUUCUCUCUUGCUCUUCCUUCUCUCUUCUUUCCCAC
rnacentral:lncRNA from 1 species